rnacentral:rRNA from 2 species
GAAAAGAACUUUGAAGAGAGAGUUCAAUAGUACGUGAAACCGUUCAGAGGUAAACGGAGAGGGCCGCAAAGUUCGUUGCGCGAAUUCAACCAGGCCGGUAGGCGGCAGACCUUAGGAACGAUUCUCGUCGACCUUCGGACCCUGCAGACUGACUACGACUGGUGCACUUUCGCGCGACGGAGCGCCACGACCGGUUGAUCGGCGGUAAGAAACUCUCCGGUUAGGUGUCAGUGGCUCGCGAGAGUCGCUGAGUUAUAAACCGAGAUGCUAAUUGCCCGUCGUGAAAUCGAGGAAGACCGAGCUCAGGCGUUUAAAGUGCUUGAUAGACUUCGUCGUUACGUUCGACCGAAGGGGACUGCGCGAGCAGUGCUCUACGAACGCGUUUCGAUGCUCGUCCGUCGUACGAUAAGCGGUCCUAAGGGGUCUGUGGCGAUUCUGUCGGUAGCCUAUCCGACCCGUCUUGAAACACGGACCAAGGAGUCUAACACGUGCGCGAGUCUCAGGGUCGUACGAAACCUGUUGGGCGUAAUGAAAGUGAAAACUGGCCGUCAAAAAGCCAGUUUAGGUAGGAUUCCGAAGUCGGCAACGACGACGGCGGCACUACCGGCCUGUUCCAGUCGCUUCGACGACGGGGCGGAGCAAGAGCGUACGCGUUGG